UUUUAGGCAAAGUAGCUAAUUCUGUUUUUCUGUUUACCAGGAACUCUCUCGUUUGUAUAACGUUAAAGACAGUAACAUCUGUCUGUUUAUUACUGGUUGAAGUAUGGUGGCAUUAUUUGGACUUCAGCAAAGACUGGAAAAGAAUAUCAAGAAGGUUUCAAGAUUGAGGUGGCGGUGGAAAUUGUCUUUGAAAAAGCCACUGUGUCUAGCGGGCGAACGGAAUGUCCUAGCACAACGAUUCUUUCGUCAGAUUGUGUCUGGCGGGCGAACGGAAUGUCCUAGGACAACGAUUCUUUCGUCCGAUUGUGUCUAGCGGGCGAACGAAAUGUCCUAGGACAACGAUUCUUUCGUCAGAUUGUGUCUAGCGGGCGAACGGAAUGUCCUAGGACAACGAUUAUUUUAUUAGAUUCAAAAAGAUAAUUUUUGUGCUUCAAAGUACUGAUUUUUGGUAGUUUUAGUCGUCUAGCGGGCGACCUAAAUGUCCUAGGACAACGAUUUUUUCAUCAGAUUACGUGAUGCAGAUUUCUGUGAUUUCUAAGUUUCAAAGCUUGAUGAUGCCGGCUAUCUCUAAUGUUUUGUUCCGUCACACCCAGAUUGCGCUAGUGUCAGCUAUCUAUUUUGUUUUGUUCCCCUACUGUCAGAUGACGCUUCCAUCGAUUUGGUUUAAAUUCAUACUUAAUUUUUGUGGUUGUUUUUUUGUGCCCUGAGUUGCCGUGCGUACGUCACUUUUAUGUAAUAAUAACUUUAUUUAAUAACUUGCAA